CUAGCGACUUCAGAGUUUGAUCCUGGCUCAGGAUGAACGCUGGCGGCGUGCUUAACACAUGCAAGUCGAACGAAGCAUAUGGAGUGCUUGCACAAAGUAUGACUGAGUGGCGGACGGGUGAGUAACGCGUGGGUAACCUGCCUUACACAGGGGGACAACGGCUGGAAACGGCUGCUAAUACCGCAUAAGCGCACAGCUUCGCAUGAAGCAGUGUGAAAAGAUUUAUCGGUGUAAGAUGGACCCGCGUCUGAUUAGCUAGUUGGUGAGGUAAAGGCUCACCAAGGCGACGAUCAGUAGCCGGCCUGAGAGGGUGAACGGCCACAUUGGGACUGAGACACGGCCCAG
rnacentral:rRNA from 1 species